rnacentral:rRNA from 1 species
UACGUAGGGUGCAAGCGUUAAUCGGAAUUACUGGGCGUAAAGCGUGCGCAGGCGGUUUUGUAAGUCUGUCGUGAAAAUCCCCGGGCUCAACCUGGGAAUUGCGAUGGAGACUGCAAGGCUAGAAUCUGGCAGAGGGGGGGUAGAAUUCCACGUGUAGCAGUGAAAUGCGUAGAGAUGUGGAGGAACACCGAUGGCGAAGGCAGCCCCCUGGGUCAAGAUUGACGCUCAUGCACGAAAGCGUGGGGAGCAAACAGG